CCAGCAGCCGCGGUAAUACGAAGGGGGCUAGCGUUGCUCGGAAUUACUGGGCGUAAAGGGAGCGUAGGCGGACAUUUAAGUCAGGGGUGAAAUCCCGGGGCUCAACCUCGGAAUUGCCCUUGAUACUGGCGAUCUUGAGUAUGAGAGAGGUAUGUGGAACUCCGAGUGUAGAGGUGAAAUUCGUAGAUAUUCGGAAGAACACCAGUGGCGAAGGCGACAUACUGGCUCAUUACUGACGCUGAGGCGCGAAAGCGUGGGGAGC
rnacentral:rRNA from 1 species